rnacentral:rRNA from 1 species
UAGCAAGAUUAACUUUUUUAUUAAUUUUCUCGAAGCCUAAGGAGUUACUUUAUUACUGUUUUUAGACGGAAAAUGUAAAUGUAGCAAAAUUUUAUUUAUAUUAUAAAGUAGAAAUGAAAUUUUUUUCGUAUUAGGAGAUAGCUAGUUUCGACAGAAAUAUAUUUACGUGUAGGUAAUCAGGUAGGUAUAGGCUAUAAAUAGCUUAGAUAAUAUUAUUGAUUUUUCUGGCCCCUAGAAGGGUGAGCUUAUAGGGGAAAAAUUGUAGUAUAAGGUAAAAGUUUGCUAGCAUCUAAGCUUGAAAUUAGCUAAGAUCAGAAGCUUGUUUUAAAGUAUUAAUGUACCGUUGUGCAUUGCUUAAGUUAGGUUGAUAAAUACCUAAGCUAAGAGGUGUUGUAUUUAUGCUAAAAUGAGUAUUCUGUGGAUGAUUGAAAACUAAAAUUGAUUGUUUAAUUAAGAAUAAUGGGUUAAUUUAAAAUGUGAAAAAGGAACUCGGCAUCUAUGCUUCGCCUGUUUAGCAAAAACAUGGCUCUUUG